rnacentral:lncRNA from 1 species
GGGUGAGGGGGGUGGGGGGGGGUGCUCGCUGGAGAGAAAGCCUGGUGCUAAGCAGCACUCGCUGUUCUUGGGCCCAGAGCUCAGCCCCCAGCACCCACCCUACGGGGUCACAGACACCUCUGAGUCCAGCUCCAGGGCCCCUUUCUGGCCUCUGCACACAUGUGUGCAUAUUCACAUACAAACACAUAAAUAAUAAUAAGCCAGAAUCUUUUUUUUUUUAAUGGUGUUAGAACAACGGGACAGCCAGAAGUAACAAAUAAACAGAGACACAAACUUUUUACCUUUCAAGGAGAUGAACUCAAAGUGAAUGAAGCCCUAAAUGUAGAACACAAGUCUGUGCAAUUCCAGGAAGUAACAGGGGACAAGUCUUCAUGCUCUUUGAGUAAUUGAAUGCUGCGGGUUUUGUUUGUUUGUUUGUUUGUUUGUUUGGUUGGUUGGUUUUUUUUUUUUUAGAGACAACAGCAGAAGCACAAACCAUAAACAAAGCUGAUUUUUGUUUCAUGUCUAUUUUAUUUUACCUGUAUGAGUGUUUAGCCUGCGUGUAUGUGUGUGGAUGUGGACCGCGUGCAUAUGUGGUGCCUGCAGAUGUCAGAAGAAAGCAUUGGCUCUCCCUGAAACUGGAGCUGUGGAUUGUUGCAAUGCCACCAUGUGGGCGCUAGAGCCGAACCUAGGUCCUCUACAGGAGCAACAAGUGCUCUUACACUGAGCUAUGUCUCCAAUCCCUAUUCAAUUAAAAAGAACAAAAACCCCU